rnacentral:rRNA from 1 species
GACGAACGCUGGCGGCGUGCCUAAUACAUGCAAGUCGAGCGAAGUUUUUCUGGUGCUUGCACCGGAAAAACUUAGCGGCGAACGGGUGAGUAACACGUAAAGAACCUGCCUCAUAGACUGGGACAACUAUUGGAAACGAUAGCUAAUACCGGAUAACAGCAUUAACUGCAUGGUUGAUGUUUAAAAGUUGGUUUUGCUAACACUAUGAGAUGGCUUUGCGGUGCAUUAGCUAGUUGGUGGGGUAAAGGCCUACCAAGGCGACGAUGCAUAGCCGACCUGAGAGGGUGAUCGGCCACACUGGGACUGAGACACGGCCCAGACUCCUACGGGAGGCAGCAGUAGGGAAUCUUCCGCAAUAGGCGAAAGCCUGACGGAGCAACGCCGCGUGAGUGAAGAAGGAUUUCGGUUCGUAAAGCUCUGUUGUUAGGGAAGAAUGAUUGUGUAGUAACUAUACACAGUAGAGACGGUACCUAACCAGAAAGCCACGGCUAACUACGUG